rnacentral:tRNA from 1 species
GGCGGACGUAGCCAAGUGGAUUAAGGG